rnacentral:rRNA from 1 species
AUUGAACGCUGGCGGCAGGCCUAACACAUGCAAGUCGAACGAGUGGCGGACGGGUGAGUAAUGUCUGGGAAACUGCCCGAUGUCGGGGCAUAACUACUGGAAACGGUAGCUAAUACCGCAUACCAUCGGACGUUCCCAGAUGGGAUUAGCUAGUAGGUGGGGUAACGACUCACCUAGGCGACGAUCCCUAGCUGGUCUGAGAGGAUGACAAGCCAAACUGGAACUGGGAAACGGUACAGACUACUACGGGAGGCCGCAGUGGGGAAUAGUGCACAAUGGGUGCAAGCCGGAUGCAGCCAUGCCGCGUGUAUGAAGAAGGCCUUCGGGUUGUAAAGGACUUUCAGCGAGGAGGCGUUACUCGCAGAAGAAGCACCGGCUAACUCCGUGCCAGCAGCCGCGGUAAUAC